GACGUAGGGCGCGAGCGUUGUCCGGAUUUAUUGGGCGUAAAGGGCUCGUAGGCGGUUUGUCGCGUCGGGAGUGAAAACCAGGUGCUUAACACCUGGCUUGCUUUCGAUACGGGCAGGCUCGAGUUCGGUAGGGGAGACUGGAAUUCCUGGUGUAGCGGUGAAAUGCGCAGAUAUCAGGAGGAACACCGGUGGCGAAGGCGGGUCUCUGGGCCGAUACUGACGCUGAGGAGCGAAAGCGUGGGGAGCGAACAGG
rnacentral:rRNA from 1 species